UCUGGGGUCUCUGUGGGUCCGGCUCCUGACUCCUCAUGAGGCCCCUAUGGGUCGGGGUUUGGGGUCCCUAUGGGGUGGGGUCCCUAUGGGUCGGGGCUUGGGGUCCAUGCCGUGUUCCCGUGGGUCAGGAUGGGCGCUCAGUAUUUGGGGUCCUCAUGGGUCACCAUUGGGUGCCCCAUAGAUGUGGCUGUGCGCCCCAUAGGUGGAGUUGGUUUCCACAGAGAGGACUUUGGGCGCCCCAUAGAUCGGCACUGGGUGCCCCAUAGUGGGCUGGUUGCCCCAUAGAUGGUCUGUGUGCCCCAUAGAUGGGCUGUUUGCCCCACAGCUUGGUUGGUUGCCCCAUAACUGGGCUGGUUGCACCAUAGAUGGAUUGGUUGCCCCACAGCUGGGCUGGUUGCCCCAUAGCUGGUUUGGUUGCCCCAUAGAUGGUCUCUGUGCCCCAUAAAUGGAUUGGUUACCCCAUUGAUGGAUUGGGUGCCCCAUAGCUGGGCUGGUUGCCCCAUAGCUGGGCUAGUUGCCCAUAGGUGGGUUGAUAGCCCCAUAGAUGGGUUGGGUGCCCCAUAGAUGGUCUCUGUGCCCCAUAGAUGAGUUGGUUGCCCCAUAGCUGUGUUGGUUGCCCCACAGCUGGGCUGGUAGCCCCACAGCUGGGCUGGUAGCCCCAUCUCCAUCCGUGCCCCCGUUUCCCGCAGAGCUGCAGCAGCUGCGCUCGGCGCUGCCGGGAGCCGCGGUGCUGCAGCGCCUGCCGCAGUCCGGCGCCGUUUUGGUGCUGCCGCCGGCGGCGCCGCGCGACCUCCUGGAGCUCUACUUCGAGAACCGCCGCAGCGCCGGCGGCAAAGUGGGCGCCGUGAGGCUGCGCCGCGAUGGGGCCGCCGUCGUCACCUUCCGAGACCCACAGGUGGUGCCGCGGGUGCUGCGCCGGACGCAUCGGCUGCAGGACGUGGAGCUGCGUGUGGUGCCGUACUACCAGGCCCUGGAGAUGGAUGGCGCCGAUCCGGCACCGGGCGAUGGCACAGAUCCGGCACUGGGCGAUGGCACAGAUCCGGCACCGGGCGAUGGCACAGAUCCGGCACCAGGUGGUGUAGAUCCGUGGGAUCUGGCAGCCACCAACACCUCGCAGCUGAGUGCGGAGCUGCCGGCUGCGGACUCUCCGGUGAUGCCACCGUGGACGACCCUGGACCCCACGGUGACACCAAAAGGGACAAACCGAGACCCCGUGGUGGUGACACCAGGAGGGACCCUGAACCGCCCGGUGACACCAGGGAGGACCACCGAGGACCCCAUGGUGACACCAGGGAGGACCCAGAACCCCACGGUGACACCAGGGAGCACCCGUAACCUCAUGGCGACACCAAAGACGACAACCCGCGUCCCUCCGGCGACACCAAAGACGCCCCCCCAAGACCCCACGCCGACACCAGGUGUGACCACCCUGGACCCCAGCGCGGCGUCACCGUCACCAUCGCCGGCCCAGGAGCGCGUGGUGCUGCCGGAAGCGACGCUGCAAUUCCUGCGCCGCGCCGACGUCCGCGCUCAGCUGUCCGGCACCGCGCCGUACGCCGUGGUCGGCACCGCGGUGCUGCUGACGGCCCCCAGCCCCGCGGACGCCCGCCGUGCCGCGCGGCGCCUGCAGGACGCGCUGGGUGCCUUCGCCGUGGCGGUGCCGCCGCGGUGCCGCGUGCCGGGGCCGGGAUCGCCGUGCUGGCGGCGGCUGCGGUGCUGCGCGGUGCGGCGGAGCGCGGACGGGCGCUGGGUGCAGGGCCUGACCCUGCGCGGCAUGGAGGAGGAGAACCGGCGCCGCGUGUGGGACGCCGUGCGGGGGGAUGGCAGCAUGGAUCCCGGCGGGGUGGAUCCCGGUGGCGUAGAUCCUGGCGGGGUGGAUCCCAGCGGUGUGGAUCCCGGUGGUGAGCGGCAGCGCGGCGGGGAUGGCGGCGGGGAUCCCACGGUGGGUGCAGAUCCCGCUGUGCGGCCCAGCAGAGGACGCAGGGUGGAUCCCGACGGAGAUCCCAACUCGUGGCUCAACCUGGAACCCGACGGAGAGCCCGAUUCACAGCCCGUCCUGGAUCCCAGCGUGGAUCCCAACGGAGAUCCCAGUUCUUGGCCCAUCAUGGAACCCAGCGGAGAUCCCAACGGAGAUCCCAACUCAUGGCCCAUCAUGGAACCCAGCGUGGAUCCCAAUGGAGAUCCCAAUUCACGGCCCAUCAUGGAACCCAUCCUGGAUCCCAACAGAGAUCCCAAUUCACGGCCCAANNNNNNNNNNNNNNNNNNNNNNNNNNNNNNNNNNNNNNNNNNNNNNNGUGGAUCCCAACGGAGAUCCCAAUUCACGGCCCAGCGUGGAUCCCAGCAGAGAUCCCAAUCCAUGGCUCAUCGUGGAACCCAGCGCGGAUCCCAUGGUGGAUCCCAGCGCCGAUCGGCGGCCCAGCCCGGCCCCCUCCGCGGAUCCCGCAGCUCCCGGCGCGGCGCCGGCGGAGGCGGUGGUUCCGAUGGCCGCGGGCGCCCUGCGCUUCCUGCAGGAGCGGCGCCGGGCUCUGCUGGCCGCCGUCGGCGGCGUCUCCGUGCUGCCGCUGGGGGGAUCCGACGGCUGCGCCCUGCGGGUGAGCGCCGCGCGGGGCGGGCGGGGCGGGGCGGUGCUGCUCUGCUCGGUGCUGCUGUGUUUGGUGCCGCUCUGCUCGGCGCUGCUCCACUCGGUGCCGCUCCGCUCGGUACUGCUCUGUUUGGUGCUGCUCCGCUCGGCGCUGCUGGGUGCGGUGCUGCUCUGCUCGUGGUUCUGCUCUGUGCCGCUCCGCUCGGUGCUGCUCCGCUCGGCGCUGCUCUGCUCGGUGCGGUGCUGCUCCACUCGGUGCUGCUCCGCUCGGUGCCGCUCUGCUCGGCGCUGCUCCGCUUGGUGCUGACGGUGCUGUGCGGUGCUGUGCGGUGCUACUGGGGGCGGUUCUGCUCCGCUCGGUGCUGCUCUGCUCGGUGCAAUGCCGCUCCGUUCGGUGCGGUGCUGCUCCACUCGGUGCUGCUCUGCUCGGUUCCGCUCUGCUCGGUACCGCCCCACUCGGCGCGGUGCUGCUCUGUUCAGUGCGGUGCUGCUCGGUGCGGUGCUGCUCCGCUCGGUGCGGUGCUGUGCUGUGCAGUGCGGUGUUGCACCACUUGCUGCUGCUCUGCUCGGUGCUGCUCUGUUUGGUGCCGCUCUGUUUGGUGCUGCUCCGCUCGGUGCUGACAGUGCUGUGCGGUGCUGUGCGGUGCUGUGCGGUGCUGCUGGAGGCGGUUCUGCUCCGCUCGGUGCCGCUCCGUUUGGCACUGCUCCGUUCGGUGCGGUGCUGCUCCGUUUGGUGCUGCUCCACUCGGUGCAGCUCUGUUUGGCGCUGCUCCACUCGGUGCUGCUCUGCUCGGUGCUGCUGGGUGCGGUGCUGCCCUGCUCGGUUCGGUGCCGCUCCGCUCGCUGCAGCUCUGCUCGGUGCUGCUGGGUGCGGUGCUGCUCUGCUCCGCUCCGUGCUGCCGGCGCGGUGCGGUGCCGCUCCGCUCGGUGCCGCUUCACUCAGCGCUGCUCCACUCGGUGCCGCUCUGCUCGGUGCGGCGCUGCUCUGCUCGCUGCUGCUCCGCUCGGUGCUGACGGUGCUGCUGGGUGCUCUGCUCGAUACAGAAUCACAGAAUCACAGAAUCACAGAAUCACUAAGGUUGAAAAGACCUAUAAGAUCAUCCAGUCCAACCAUCCACCCAUCACCAAUGGUUCUCACUAAACC
ensembl:lncRNA